UAUCAGCUGAGGCUCCUAAACAGAGAGUGC
rnacentral:piRNA from 1 species